GAGACUGGAAUUCCUGGUGUAGCGGUGGAAUGCGCAGAUAUCAGGAGGAACACCGAUGGCGAAGGCAGGUCUCUGGGCUGUAACUGACGCUGAGGAGCGAAAGCAUGGGGAGCGAACAGGAUUAGAUACCCUGGUAGUCCAUGCCGUAAACGUUGGGCACUAGGUGUGGGGACCAUUCCACGGUUUCCGCGCCGCAGCUAACGCAUUAAGUGCCCCGCCUGGGGAGUACGGCCGCAAGGCUAAAACUCAAAGGAAUUGACGGGGGCCCGCACAAGCGGCGGAGCAUGCGGAUUAAUUCGAUGCAACGCGAAGAACCUUACCAAGGCUUGACAUGUUCUCGAUCGCCGUAGAGAUACGGUUUCCCCUUUGGGGCGGGAUCACAGGUGGUGCAUGGUUGUCGUCAGCUCGUGUCGUGAGAUGUUGGGUUAAGUCCCGCAACGAGCGCAACCCUCGUUCCAUGUUGCCAGCACGUAAUGGUGGGGACUCAUGGGAGACUGCCGGGGUCAACUCGGAGGAAGGUGGGGACGACGUCAAAUCAUCAUGCCCCUUAUGUCUUGGGCUUCACGCAUGCUACAAUGGCCGGUACAAUGGGUUGCGAUACUGUGAGGUGGAGCUAAUCCCAAAAAGCCGGUCUCAGUUCGGAUUGGGGUCUGCAACUCGACCCCAUGAAGUCGGAGUCGCUAGUAAUCGCAGAUCAGCAACGCUGCGGUGAAUACGUUCCCGGGCCUUGUACACACCGCCCGUCAAGUCACGAAAGUCGGUAACACCCGAAGCCGG
rnacentral:rRNA from 1 species